GCCUAGCCGUAAACUUUAACUUACACCUCAAUCGCCAGGGAACUACGAGCAAAGCUUAAAACCCAAAGGACUUGACGGUACCCCAAAUCCAUCUAGAGGAGCCUGUCCUAUAAUCGAUAACCCCCGUUUAACCUCACCACUUUUUGUCUAUCAGCCUGUAUACCUCCGUCGUCAGCUUACCACGUGAGCGUUAUUGAGUGAGCUUAAUGCCCCUACGCCAACACGUCAGGUCAAGGUGCAGCUAAUGAAGUGGGAAGAGAUGGGCUACACUUUCUAUAAUAGAAGAAACGAAAGACUACGUAUGAAACCUAGUCAGAAGGAGGAUUUAGUAGUAAAAAGAAAACAGAGUGUUCUUUUUAACCCGGCACUGGGGUGUGUACACACCGCCCGUCACCCUCUUCAAGACCUCAAACAAGUAUAUAACUGAACUUAGUCACAUAGAAGAGGCAAGUCGUAACAUGGUAAGUAUACCGGAAGGUGUGCUUGGAAA
rnacentral:rRNA from 1 species